GGGCACUCUAAUGAGACUGCCGGUGACAACCGGAGGAAGGUGGGGAUGACGUCAAGUCCUCAUGGCCCUUAUGGGUAGGGCUUCACACGUCAUACAAUGGUCGGUACAGAGGGUUGCCAACCCGCGAGGGGGGAGCUAAUCCCACAAAGCCGAUCGUAGUCCGGAUCGCAGUCUGCAACUCGACUGCGUGAAGUCGGAAUCGCUAGUAAUCGUGGAUCAGCAUGUCACGGUGAAUACGUUCCCGGGUCUU
rnacentral:rRNA from 1 species